GUUUACCAACACUUCGCAUAUUAAAUGUAUUUGUUUGGGAUGUAUGGGGGUACGUAUUUGUUUGUCAACGUUUGAUAAGCUACCAUUGGUCAAAUUCAACGAAAGACUUAGACAAGACGAUGAUGCUGCAGUGUAACUUGCAGAUCUAUGCAGAAGGCCCGUCUAGGAACCCUAGCCCCUAUUAGUACAGUAGUAGCCAUAGUGGGACAUGAAAAGAACGUAUUAGACUCGGUGAAACCUACCAAAUAGGUGAUGUGAUAGUGUACAUAUAUGACCUGCUUUGGUCUGAAUGGUUUGCUAUUAAACUAUGGACAGGACAGUGGUAUCAUCUGUGAAUGACUGACCAUGCUGAUUAUGUCAAAGGGAUAUAGGAAGUGGAUCAUCCAGUUUCUUUGCCUUUCCCUCGAGGUCUUCAGACAGUGUCUCUAUACAUCAUUAACCAUGUUGAUUAGCUCUCAUGAUGUCAUGCCAUUACUGCCAGAUUACUU